UCACCAUGAAGACUGAGGUGGCAUAUAACCUGGUAUUUCUUUUAUCAUAUGUGACAGCUUCCCAUGUGCACAAAUACACCUACACAGCGCUGGACUUCGUGGGCGUUAUGGCGGACUACAUUAGGCUGCUUAACGAAUCUUUCAGUGGAACGAUAGCAGACUUUGGGUAUACAGACGACUACGAAUAUUGGAAGCAAAUAC